UCCCUGGUGGCACAGUGGUUAAGGCUCCGUGCUGCCAAUGCAGGGGGCCCAGGUUCAAUCCCUGGCCAGGGAA